rnacentral:rRNA from 1 species
UACGUAGGGUGCAAGCGUUGUCCGGAAUCACUGGGCGUAAAGGGCGCGUAGGUGGCGCGGGCAGUCAACGGUGAAAGUUCGGGGCUCAACCCUGAAUCGGCCGUCGAUACUCCCGGGCUUGAGCACUGUAGAGGCAGAUGGAAUUCCGGGUGUAGCGGUGGAAUGCGUAGAGAUCCGGAAGAACACCGGUGGCGAAGGCGGUCUGCUGGGCAGUAGCUGACACUGAGGCGCGACAGCGUGGGGAGCAAACAGG